rnacentral:tRNA from 1 species
GUGCCCGUAGCUCAAUUGGUAGAGCUCCAGAUUGUGGCUCUGGCGGUUGCCGGUUCAAGCCCGGUCGGGCACCCCC